rnacentral:rRNA from 1 species
UGGGGAAUAUUGGACAAUGGGCGCAAGCCUGAUCCAGCCACGCCGCGUGAGUGAUGAAGGCCUUCGGGUCGUAAAGCUCUGUGGGGAGGGACGAACCGCCGCUGGUUAAUACCCAGCGGCAUGACGGUACCUCCUUAGCAAGCACCGGCUAACUUCGUGCCAGCAGCCGCGGUAAUACGAAGGGUGCAAACGUUGCUCGGAAUUAUUGGGCGUAAAGCGCACGUAGGCGGCUUAGCAAGUCGGAUGUGAAAUCCCUCGGCUCAACCAAGGAAGUGCAUCCGAAACUGCUGAGCUUGAGUACUUAAGAGGAUCGCGGAAUUCCCGGUGUAGAGGUGAAAUUCGUAGAUAUCGGGAGGAACACCAGUGGCGAAGGCGGCGAUCUGGGAAGAUACUGACGCUGAGGUGCGAAAGCGUGGGGAGCAAACAGG